rnacentral:tRNA from 4 species
GCGGAUAUGGUCAAAUGGUAAAAUUUCUCU